rnacentral:rRNA from 1 species
GACGAACGUUGGCGGCGUGCUUAAUACAUGUAAGUCAACUGAAGCAGUGGUAGCAAUAUCGCUGUGGAGGUGGCGCACGGGUGAGUAACACGUAGGUAAUCUGCCUUCAGGUCUGGCAUAACUCCGGGAAACCGGGGCUAAUAGCAGAUGAUGCAGCGGCUCGACAUCGAGACAGUUGUUAAAGCUAUGGCGCCUGAAGAUGAGCCUGCGUCUGAUUAGCUAGUUGGCGGGGUAACGGCCCACCAAGGCAACGAUCAGUAGCUGGUCUGAGAGGAUGAUCAGCCACACUGGAACUGAGACACGGUCCAGACUCCUACGGGAGGCAGCAGUAAGGAAUAUUGCUCAAUGGGAGAAAUCCUGAAGCAGCAACGCCGCGUGAGGGACGAAGGGCUUUUGCUUGUAAACCUCUGUAGUGAGAGAAAAAAAUCCCAAUCUUUGGGACAUGAUGGUAUCUCAAAAGUAAGCCCCGGCUAACUACGUG